rnacentral:rRNA from 1 species
GAUGAACGCUGGCGGCGUGCCUAAUACAUGCAAGUCGAGCGAACAGACGAGGAGCUUGCUCCUCUGACGUUAGCGGCGGACGGGUGAGUAACACGUGGAUAACCUACCUAUAAGACUGGGAUAACUUCGGGAAACCGGAGCUAAUACCGGAUAAUAUACUGAACCGCAUGGUUCAAUAGUGAAAGACGGUUUUGCUGUCACUUAUAGAUGGAUCCGCGCCGCAUUAGCUAGUUGGUAAGGUAACGGCUUACCAAGGCAACGAUGCGUAGCCGACCUGAGAGGGUGAUCGGCCACCCUGGAACUGAGACACGGUCCAGACUCCUACGGGAGGCAGCAGUAGGGAAUCUUCCGCAAUGGGCGAAAGCCUGACGGAGCAACGCCGCGUGAGUGAUGAAGGUCUUCGGAUCGUAAAACUCUGUUAUUAGGGAAGAACAAAUGUGUAAGUAACUAUGCACGUCUUGACGGUACCUAAUCAGAAAGCCACGGCUAACUACGUG